rnacentral:lncRNA from 1 species
CUCUUCUUUGCACAGCAGCAGUAUCUUGGAUCACUGCUGAACCUCUUCUGUGGUUGCUGAAGAGGACUCUUGUGUGAUUAACUUUCUAAGUAAGAUUCUCAUAACAAAUCCAUCACUCCUACUUUGCUGCAUCCCUGCCCUUGUAAAGCUUUGUGUUUUUUGACAGUGGGAAAAAAAAUUCUUACUUUAGAAACAUCCCAAUUUGAUCAGCAUUGGCAAGAGGAAACAAGCUUACGAAAACUGAUUUAUUUAUUUAUUUAUUUUAAAUCAGAUGGGAACCAUCAGCACCAGUCCAUGCUGGAUCCAGGCAUUGCCACAUACAAUACAGACUGCCUCUGGAGAGGGGAAGAAGUCUGAAGACUCAAAAGACUAGUGAGAGAGUAAUCAUUGGUUCACACUGUUUCCCUUCCAGCAACUUGCUGUAAGCAAGAACAGAAAAAAAAAAUAAAUAAAUAAACACACAAGACA